rnacentral:rRNA from 1 species
GGAUGGGGAUGCGUCUGAUUAGCUUGUUGGCGGGGUAACGGCCCACCAAGGCGACGAUCAGUAGGGGUUCUGAGAGGAAGGUCCCCCACAUUGGAACUGAGACACGGUCCAAACUCCUACGGGAGGCAGCAGUGAGGAGUAUUGGUCAGUGGGCGAGAGCCUGAACCAGCCAAGUAGCGUGCAGGAAGACGGCCCUAUGGGUUGUAAACUGCUUUUAUACGGGGAUAAAAUGAGCCACGUGUGGUUUAUUGCAGGUACCGUAUGAAUAAGGACCGGCUAAUUCCGUGCCAGCAGCCGCGGUAAUACGGAAGGUCCGGGCGUUAUCCGGAUUUAUUGGGUUUAAAGGGAGCGUAGGCCGUCUGUUAAGCGUGUUGUGAAAUGUCGGGGCUCAACCUGGGCAUUGCAGCGCGAACUGGCAGACUUGAGUGCGCAGGAAGUAGGCGGAAUUCGUCGUGUAGCGGUGAAAUGCUUAGAUAUGACGAAGAACUCCGAUUGCGAAGGCAGCCUGCUGUAGCGUAACUGACGCUGAAGCUCGAAAGCGUGGGUAUCGAACAGGAUUAGAUACCCUGGUAGUCCACGCGGUAAACGAUGGAUGCUCGCUGUUUGCGUCUGACGUAAGCGACCAAGCGAAAGCGUUAAGCAUCCCACCUGGGGAGUACGCCGGCAACGGUGCAACUCAAAUGAAUUGAC